AAGCGGGAAACUAGCUUCAAGAUAAGUAUUCUACGAGGAAGCUUCGAGAACAGGAGCUGGAUAGGUUGGGGGUGUACGCGCAGUAAUGUGUUUAGCUGACCAAUACUAAUCGAACGAAAUUUUAAUCGG
rnacentral:rRNA from 1 species